AUCCAUCUGACGACUUCCAAAUAGGGUGAAACGCGCGUUGUGGAU
rfam:Schistosoma rodhaini strain Burundi genome assembly, scaffold: SROB_scaffold0001439